UACGUAGGGUGCGAGCGUUGUCCGGAAUUAUUGGGCGUAAAGAGCUCGUAGGCGGUCUGCCUCGUCGGUCGUGAAAACUUGGGGCUUAACCCUGAGCUUGCGGUCGAUACGGGCAUGACUGGAGUUCGGCAGGGGAGACUGGAAUUCCUGGUGUAGCGGUGAAAUGCGCAGAUAUCAGGAGGAACACCGGUGGCGAAGGCGGGUCUCUGGGCAUUAACUGACGCUGAGGAGCGAAAGCAUGGGGAGCGAACAGG
rnacentral:rRNA from 1 species